AUGAAGCCAUCAUUUGCAGCUCUUCUACUUGUGUGUCUUAUUCUCUCCUCAUCUAUGUUUGAAAUCACAGCACUUGGUGUUGGUAGUUUCUGCUCGGCAAAAUGCAGACAGAGGUGCUUGAAAGCUGGGAGGAGAGACAUGUGCUUGAAUUUAUGUGGAAUUUGUUGCAGUAAGUGUAAGUGUGUGCCAUCAGGGACAUAUGGUAACAAACAUGAGUCUCCUUGUUACAGAGACAUGAGAAACUCAAAGGGAAAUCCAAAAUUCCCUUAA
rnacentral:lncRNA from 1 species